UAGCUAGUUGGUGAGGUAAAGGCUUACCAAGGCGACGAUCUGUAGCGGGUCUGAGAGGAUGAUCCGCCACACUGGAACUGAGACACGGUCCAGACUCCUACGGGAGGCAGCAGUGGGGAAUUUUGGACAAUGGGGGCAACCCUGAUCCAGCCAUGCCGCGUGAGUGAAGAAGGCCUUCGGGUUGUAAAGCUCUUUCGGCCGGGAAGAAAUCGCAUGGGCCAAUACCCUGUGUGGAUGACGGUACCGGAAUAAGAAGCACCGGCUAACUACGUGCCAGCAGCCGCGGUAAUACGUAGGGUGCGAGCGUUAAUCGGAAUUACUGGGCGUAAAGCGUGCGCAGGCGGUUUUGUAAGACAGGCGUGAAAUCCCCGGGCUUAACCUGGGAACUGCGUUUGUGACUGCAAGGCUAGAGUACGGCAGAGGGGGGUGGAAUUCCACGUGUAGCAGUGAAAUGCGUAGAGAUGUGGAGGAACACCAAUGGCGAGGGCAGCCCCCCGGUCGAUACUGACGCUCAUGCACGAAAGCGUGGGUAGCAAACAGGAUUAGAUACCCUGGUAGUCCACGCCCUAAACUAUGUCAACUAGGUGUUGGGUGGGUAAAACCAUUUAGUACCGUAGCUAACGCGUGAAGUUGACCGCCUGGGGAGUACGGCCGCAAGGUUAAAACUCAAAGGAAUUGACGGGGACCCGCACAAGCGGUGGAUGAUGUGGAUUAAUUCGAUGCAACGCGAAAAACCUUACCUACCCUUGACAUGCCAGGAACUUGCCAGAGAUGGCUUGGUGCCCGAAAGGGAGCCUGGACACAGGUGCUGCAUGGCUGUCGUCAGCUCGUGUCGUGAGAUGUUGGGUUAAGUCCCGCAACGAGCGCAACCCUUGUCGUUAAUUGCCAUCAUUUGGUUGGGCACUUUAACGAGACUGCCGGUGACAAACCGGAGGAAGGUGGGGAUGACGUCAAGUCCUCAUGGCCCUUAUGGGUAGGGCUUCACACGUCAUACAAUGGUCGGUACAAAGGGUUGCCAAGCCGCGAGGCGGAGCCAAUCCCAGAAAGCCGAUCGUAGUCCGGAUUGCAGGCUGCAACUCGCCUGCAUGAAGUCGGAAUCGCUAGUAAUCGUGGAUCAGCAUGUCACGGUGAAUACGUUCCCGGGUCCUGUACACACCGCCCGUCACACCAUGGGAGCGGGUUCCGCCAGAAGUAGGUAGCCUAACCGCAAGGAGGGCGCUUACCACGGCGGGGUUCGUGACUGGGGUGAAUUCGGAACAAGGUAGCCGUAGGGGAGCCUGCGGCUG
rnacentral:rRNA from 1 species